CCCCAAUUUAGUCCUGUAACAGCUUUCGAUAGGUAGACUAGCCAUAUAUGAGGCAGAAAAAAGGCGCAUUGAAUCUCAUCCUAGACAUCUAGUGAGUACGUCAGAAUAUUCAGAGGAGAAUAACGUCAGGCGACCACGCCUUGAAAUGUCCCUGUAGCCUCCAGUUUUGACAAUCCGAAGUAGAAGAAUGUUUACGAAAAGAAAAUGGCUUUAAAGCUAUUGUUAAGACAAAAAUCAUGCACAUGCAAAACACAACAAGAUUCUUAAUCCUUAAAAUGAACUUGAGGCUGAUUUUCAAAACCUUGGAUUACCGAAAUUGCACCCACUCAAAAACAAAAACAAACUGAAACUCGUCGGUUCCCCCCAAUAAUUCUCGGAAAUUGAUUCUAAAAACGGACUGUAGCGAUUGUGGUCUGUUCACUCGAGUCUUAGAACUCUUCCAAGGUUAUGGUUUGGGAGAAGCAGCCUUCCGAUGGGGAAUCUACCAUUGAAAGUCAUUGCUGCGAUGGGGUUACUUCUCCGGAAGAAUCCGAGGUCGCCAAGAACGAGCCACAGAAAUCUUCAAAUUAUCUGGCUCGAGUCGUUCACAGCAGGUUGCACCGGUUAGCUCACGUGGCCAUUGCGGGGUGUGGACCACAAGCGUUCAACAGCCCAGCUACGUAACCUUGGACAACGCGUUUAGAUGUCAAAGCAAGGCUUGCCCUCGUGCCCGUUAUGACCAUAUUUGUGCAAACUGUAAUCGCUCCUGUAAAAUGAAUACGUUAUUUAUCAGUAAAAUGGGGGACUUACGUUUUGUGCUAGACCUUGUUCUAGACUGAAUAAAACGGUCUUUUCAAGAA